AACGAACGCUGGCGGCAUGCCUAACACAUGCAAGUCGAACGCUUUAGGGGCUUCGGUCCCUAGGGAGUGGCGCACGGGUGAGUAGCGCGUGGGAACCUGCCCUGUUGUGGGGGAUAACCGAGGGAAACUUCGGCUAAUACCGCAUACGCCCGCGGAUUUUGGUCCGCGGGGAAAGAUUUAUCGCAGCAGGAGGGGCCCGCGUCCGAUUAGCUGGUUGGUGGGGUAACGGCCCACCAAGGCGAUGAUCGGUAGCUGGUCUGAGAGGAUGAUCAGCCACAAUGGGAUUGAGACACGGCCCAGACUCCUACAGGAGGCAGCAGUGGGGAAUAUUGGACAAUGGGCGCAAGCCUGAUCCAGCAAUGCCGCGUGAGUGAUGAAGGCCUUCGGGUUGUAAAGCUCUUUCGCCCGCGACGAUGAUGACGGUAGCGGGAGAAGAAGCCCCGGCUAACUUCGUGCCAGCCGCCGCGGUAAUAC
rnacentral:rRNA from 1 species